GACGAACGCUGGCGGCGUGCCUAAUACAUGCAAGUCGAGCGCAGGAAACUGACGGAACUCUUCGGAGGGAAGGCAGUGGAAUGGGCGGCGGACGGGUGAGUAACACGUAAGGAACCUGCCUCAAGGAUUGGGAUAACUCCGAGAAAUCGGAGCUAAUACCGGAUAGUUCAACGGACCGCAUGGUCCGUUGAUGAAAGGCGCUCCGGCGUCACCUUGAGAUGGCCUUGCGGUGCAUUAGCUAGUUGGUGGGGUAACGGCUCACCAAGGCGACGAUGCAUAGCCGACCUGAGAGGGGGAUCGGCCACACUGGGACUGAGACACGGCCCAGACUCCUACGGGAGGCAGCAGUAGGGAAUCUUCCACAAUGGACGAAAGUCUGAUGGGGCAACGCCGCGUGAGUAAUGAAGGUUCUCGGAUCGUAAAACUCUGUUGUAAGGGAAGAACACGUACGAGAGGGAAUGCUCGUACCUUGACGGUACCUUACGAGAAAGCCACGGCUAACUACGUGCCAGCCGCCGCGGUAA
rnacentral:rRNA from 1 species